AUUGUAUGUGUCUGUAUGUGUGUGUGGGACACGAUUACGUUGUUGAAAUAUUCGUCGUUUCUCCCCCUAGGGGGCCGACACUAGUCUACCCAAUAUCUACAGUGGGCACUAGGCUUGUUCUUUUCGCUUUCCUCUCUUCAAGGAGCUCUCUUCAACUUGUGAUAGAGGACGAAUAUUGUGUUGAAAUCAGACUUAUUGUAUGUGUCUGUAUGUGUGUGUGGGACACGAUUACGUUGUUGAAAUAUUCGUCGUUUCUCCCCCUAGGGGGCCGACACUAGUCUACCCAAUAUCUACAGUGGGCACUAGGCUUGUUCUUUUCGCUUUCCUCUCUUCAAGGAGCUCUCUUCAACUUGUGAUAGAGGACGAAUAUUGUGUUGAAAUCAGACUUAUUGUAUGUGUCUGUGUGUGUGUGUCGUUCACGAUUACGUUGAGGAAAUAUUCGUCGUUUCUUCCCCGCUGGGGCGCGACUCUACCCAAUAUCUACAGUACGUACGUUCUUAUAUUGGCGCUUUCCUCUUUCCAAGGACGCUCUUCAACUUGUGAUAGAGGACGAAUAUUGUGUUGAAAUCAGACGUAUUUGAAAGUUCGUGUAUUUUGACGGUUUGACGGUUGUGCUCACGGUAGAGACAGUGACAGUGAAUGAACAGCAACAGCAACAGCAACAACGACAACGAUAAUUACAACAACAACAACAACAACAACAACAACAAUAACAACAACGACGACGACAGUAGCAACUUCGCUACAGCUGUACCGCAUCUAGCAUCAUCACUUGUGCUACAACAGCAGCAACAGCAACAACAACGAUAACAACAACGACAAUAACAGCAACAACGACGACAAUAACAACAACAAUAACGACGACAACGACGACGACGACAGCAGCUACUUCGCUACAGCUGCCCCGCAUCUAACGACAUCACCACAACUCAUACUUCACAACAACAACAACAACGGACGCAACGACCUCAGCAGCUGCAGCAAAAACCUGCUACGAACUCGUCGACGACAACCACUACAACUACAACGACAACUUCAUCAACUACAACAACAACAGCAGCAGCAACUACAACAACUACAGCAAUUACAUUACAUCAAAGAAACAGUACGGUGUCUGUGUUGACAAGCUGUCACCGCACCGACUCUGGUGAAAUGCUGCAGUCGUUGUUGUCGCUGCUUCUCUUCAAUAACUCGUGUGGAACGGAGUGAAAGAAAGAAAGAAAGAAAGGAAGAAAGAAAGAAAGAAAGAAAAAGAGAAAAGAAAGAAAGAAAGAGAAAAAGAAGAAAAAAAGAAAGAAAGAAAG